rnacentral:rRNA from 1 species
UACGGAGGGGGCUAGCGUUGUUCGGAAUUACUGGGCGUAAAGCGCGCGUAGGCGGCUUUGUAAGUUAGAGGUGAAAGCCCGGAGCUCAACUCCGGAACUGCCUUUAAGACUGCAUCGCUUGAAUCAUGGAGAGGUCAGUGGAAUUCCGAGUGUAGAGGUGAAAUUCGUAGAUAUUCGGAAGAACACCAGUGGCGAAGGCGACUGACUGGACAUGUAUUGACGCUGAGGUGCGAAAGCGUGGGGAGCAAACAGG